rnacentral:misc_RNA from 1 species
UCCGUGCCCGUCACCGAACGGUCGGCAGGCGAUCCGCGUCGGUCGUGCGAGGUGGUAUGGUUCCCCAGAGGCCGGUUCUUGUGCUGCCUACCCCUUCAGGGGAAGCGGGCCACUUGAUGUAAGCCUCCGUCCGGCGCCUUCCAAUGGGCGCAGGAGGACAACAGAGCACCCCCCGCGUUCCACCGAGCCCUCUCGGUCGCGUGGCCCGCGGGGACGUGCGAUGCUCUCGGACCCAGCGAACGCCGUGGGCGAGGACUCACGUCCCAGUCCCGAAAAGAAGCUCCGAUGUAAUGCUGACGGCCGCUCCCGCCCCCCGACCGCCCCGGCGGCGCGGGGACGAGGCGCGGCGUCGCGGAGGAAUGCUACCU